GACGAGGGAUCCUAGCGUUGUUCGGAAUUAUUGGGCGUAAAGCGGGUGUAGGCGGACUGUUAAGUCAGGUGUGAAAUCCCAGGGCUCAACCCUGGAAGUGCACUUGAUACUGGCAGUCUUGAAUGUGGUAGACGGUUACUGGAAUUCCUGGUGUAGUGGUGAAAUACGUAGAUAUCAGGAGGAACACCGGAGGCGAAGGCGGGUAACUGGCCAACAUUGACGCUGAGACCCGAAAGCGUGGGGAUCAAACAGG
rnacentral:rRNA from 1 species